GGCAUCGCCGGGUAGCUAUGUUCGGAAGAGAUAACCGCUGAAAGCAUCUAAGCGGGAAACUCGCCUUAAGAUGAGAUAUCCCUGGGGACUAGAUCCCCUUGAAGGGUCGUUCGAGACCAGGACGUUGAUAGGUCAGGUGUGUAAGCGCAGUAAUGCGUUCAGCUAACUGAUACUAAUUGCCCGUAAGGCUUGAUCCUAUAACA
rnacentral:rRNA from 1 species